AUUAAAGUAGAUGCAGCUUCCCUGGCUUAAAGGACGGAACUCCAGCAAGAAAUCUAUUGAAGAGUUGGUGCUGGGUUAGCCGAAAAUCAAAGUUUAUCCGGUCCCUGAAAAAUUCGCUUUUUAUGAUUACAUCGGCAAUAAUCCAGAAAAGGGUGGAUUGUUCAUAGCGGACUCAAUGGAGUCAGUUAUAGCAUCCUGCUUCUUCUUACAAAAGAAAUUUCAUAAGAGAGAUGAGGCAAAGAAGGAAUUGAUAGAGGUGCGUCGAGAAGUUCAAUACCUUCUUGAUCGAGAAAAUGUCCUUGCUUGUACUUCUCUUUAUUUUUCGAGAUUGGGUUGGUGUUCAGUCUACUUCUAAAUAAGUACUCCGCUUUGUUUAGUCUCUUUCUUCAUGCAAGUCUACUAGUUGAUCGAGAAAGCACCGCCCAAAGGGCCUCAUAGAGGCGGUCACCGGUAGGCUCAUCUCAAAGCUGAAAUGAAGAAAGUAAAGUUCUUGCAUUUUUCAACCAUAAGGUUGGCUUUUCACUAGAAGCUCAGCCUAGAGUUGAUCGACCAAUUCCCCCGAGCUUAGGGGUCAAUUACGGGGGAGUCGGAAACUAUUGUAUCUUUUCUAAAGCGGCAUUCUCCCUUCUAUCUAUCUUGAAUUGAAUUAUGGAGGUGCAAUUUAUUUGGAGGAGGUGGGUUCGAGAAGAAAAGCCAUGUACUAUUAUAUGGUGUAAUUCUAGAUCUCAUUCGUAUUCCAGUGGUUUGGGCUUAGAUGUGGCCUUUCAUUCCUUAGGGAGUGAGAGGGUAAAGGGGAAAGGGUGGGUGGCCCCCUACAAGUUCUUGAAGUCGGAUGGAACGAAAGCGCAUAUAGGAAACGAAACUCAGACCUAUGGUGCCAUAUAAGAUAAGCAUUUCCUGAUCGGGUAAAGAUUUCGAGAUUAGAAUUGAGUGAGGGCAGCGGUUCCUCCAUAAUAGCUAUGAAAAAGGGAAGUGGA
rnacentral:lncRNA from 1 species